rnacentral:rRNA from 1 species
AAAACUCUAAGCGGUGGAUCACUCGGCUCAUGGGUCGAUGAAGAACGCAGCAAACUGUGCGUCAUCGUGUGAACUGCAGGACACAUGAACAUCGACAUUUUGAACGCAUAUCGCAGUCCAUGCUGUUAUGUACUUUAAUUAAUUUUAUAGUGCUGCUUGGACUACAUAUGGUUGAGGGUUGUAAGACUAUGCUAAUUAAGUUGCUUAUAAAUUUUUAUAAGCAUAUGGUAUAUUAUUGGAUAAAUAUAAUAAUUUUUAUUCAUAAUAUUAAAAAAUAAAUGAAAAACAUUAUCUCACAUUUGAAUGUGAAAAACGAAGAGAAAUAUUUUCUUUUUCAAUCAAAUAAUACUGAGAAAUGUCUAGCAUAAAAAAUUGAAAUAUUUUUCAUCUAGAAUUGUCUCUUAUUAAUGAUUCGGAAAUAGAAAAAUCUUGGUUAUGUUAUUAUUCUUCGUUGGUUCGUUAAAAAUGGAUAAAUAAAAACUUUGCAUACAAGAAUUAAUAAAAAUGUUAUAACGAAUUUAAUUAAAUGUUUUAUCAUUAUAUAUAAAGAAUUUAUGGCAAGAUAAAGUUAUAUACAACCUCAACUCAUAUGGGACUACCCCCUGAAUUUAAGCAUAUUAAUUAGGGGAGGAAAAGAAACUAACAAGGAUUUUCUUAGUAGCGGCGAGCGAAAAGAAAACAGUUCAGCACUAAGUCACUUUGUCUAUAUGGCAAAUGUGAGAUGCAGUGUAUGGAGCGUCAAUAUUCUAGUAUGAGAAAUUAACGAUUUAAGUCCUUCUUAAAUGAGGCCAUUUACCCAUAGAGGGUGCCAGGCCCGUAUAACGUUAAUGAUUACUAGAUGAUGUUUCCAAAGAGUCGUGUUGCUUGAUAGUGCAGCACUAAGUGGGUGGUAAACUCCAUCUAAAACUAAAUAUAACCAUGAGACCGAUAGUAAACAAGUACCGUGAGGGAAAGUUGAAAAGAACUCUGAAUAGAGAGUUAAACAGUACGUGAAACUGCUUAGAGGUUAAGCCCGAUGAACCUGAAUAUCCGUUAUGGAAAAUUCAUCAUUAAAAUUGUAAUAUUUAAAUAAUAUUAUGAGAAUAGUGUGCAUUUUUUCCAUAUAAGGACAUUGUAAUCUAUUAGCAUAUACCAAAUUUAUCAUAAAAUAUAACUUAUAGUUUAUUCCAAUUAAAUUGCUUGCAUUUUAACACAGAAUAAAUGUUAUUAAUUUGAUAAAGUGCUGAUAGAUUUAUAUGAUUACAGUGCGUUAAUUUUUCGGAAUUAUAUAAUGGCAUAAUUAUCAUUGAUUUUUGUGUUUAUUAUAUGCACUUGUAUGAUUAACAAUGCGAAAGAUUCAGGAUACCUUCGGGACCCGUCUUGAAACACGGACCAAGGAGUCUAACAUAUGUGCAAGUUAUUGGGAUAUAAACCUAAUAGCGUAAUUAACUUGACUAAUAAUGGGAUUAGUUUUUUAGCUAUUUAUAGCUGCUAAUUAACACAAUCCCGGGGCGUUCUAUAUAGUUAUGUAUAAUGUAUAUUUAUAUUAUUUAUGCCUCUAACUGGAACGUACCUUGAGCAUAUAUGCUGUGACCCGAAAGAUGGUGAACUAUACUUGAUCAGGUUGAAGUCAGGGGAAACCCUGAUGGAAGACCGAAACAGUUCUGACGUGCAAAUCGAUUGUCAGAAUUGAGUAUAGGGGCGAAAGACCAAUCGAACCAUCUAGUAGCUGGUUCCUUCCGAAGUUUCCCUCAGGAUAGCUGGUGCAUUUUAAUAUUAUAUAAAAUAAUCUUAUCUGGUAAAGCGAAUGAUUAGAGGCCUUAGGGUCGAAACGAUCUUAACCUAUUCUCAAACUUUAAAUGGGUAAGAACCUUAACUUUCUUGAUAUGAAGUUCAAGGUUAUGAUAUAAUGUGCCCAGUGGGCCACUUUUGGUAAGCAGAACUGGCGCUGUGGGAUGAACCAAACGUAAUGUUACGGUGCCCAAAUUAACAACUCAUGCAGAUACCAUGAAAGGCGUUGGUUGCUUAAAACAGCAGGACGGUGAUCAUGGAAGUCGAAAUCCGCUAAGGAGUGUGUAACAACUCACCUGCCGAAGCAACUAGCCCUUAAAAUGGAUGGCGCUUAAGUUGUAUACCUAUACAUUACCGCUAAAGUAGAUGAUUUAUAUUACUUGUGAUAUAAAUUUUGAAACUUUAGUGAGUAGGAAGGUACAAUGGUAUGCGUAGAAGUGUUUGGCGUAAGCCUGCAUGGAGCUGCCAUUGGUACAGAUCUUGGUGGUAGUAGCAAAUAAUCGAAUGAGACCUUGGAGGACUGAAGUGGAGAAGGGUUUCGUGUGAACAGUGGUUGAUCACGAGUUAGUCGGUCCUAAGUUCAAGGCGAAAGCCGAAAAUUUUCAAGUAAAACAAAAAUGCCUAACUAUAUAAACAAAGCGAAUUAUAAUACACUUGAAUAAUUUUGAACGAAAGGGAAUACGGUUCCAAUUCCGUAACCUGUUGAGUAUCCGUUUGUUAUUAAAUAUGGGCCUCGUGCUCAUCCUGGCAACAGGAACGACCAUAAAGAAGCCGUCGAGAGAUAUCGGAAGAGUUUUCUUUUCUGUUUUAUAGCCGUACUACCAUGGAAGUCUUUCGCAGAGAGAUAUGGUAGAUGGGCUAGAAGAGCAUGACAUAUACUGUUGUGUCGAUAUUUUCUCCUCGGACCUUGAAAAUUUAUGGUGGGGACACGCAAACUUCUCAACAGGCCGUACCAAUAUCCGCAGCUGGUCUCCAAGGUGAAGAGUCUCUAGUCGAUAGAAUAAUGUAGGUAAGGGAAGUCGGCAAAUUAGAUCCGUAACUUCGGGAUAAGGAUUGGCUCUGAAGAUUGAGAUAGUCGGGCUUGAUUGGGAAACAAUAACAUGGUUUAUGUGCUCGUUCUGGGUAAAUAGAGUUUCUAGCAUUUAUGUUAGUUACUUGUUCCCCGGAUAGUUUAGUUACGUAGCCAAUUGUGGAACUUUCUUGCUAAAAUUUUUAAGAAUACUAUUUGGGUUAAACCAAUUAGUUCUUAUUAAUUAUAACGAUUAUCAAUUAACAAUCAAUUCAGAACUGGCACGGACUUGGGGAAUCCGACUGUCUAAUUAAAACAAAGCAUUGUGAUGGCCCUAGCGGGUGUUGACACAAUGUGAUUUCUGCCCAGUGCUCUGAAUGUCAAAGUGAAGAAAUUCAAGUAAGCGCGGGUCAACGGCGGGAGUAACUAUGACUCUCUUAAGGUAUUAAGCCAUUUUAGUGAAUGGAUAUAGUACUGUAAGCUAGCUGUUCUACGACAGAGGGUUCAAAAACUACUAUAGGUAGGCAGUGGUUGCCGACCUCUCAUAUUGUUCAAAACGUAUGUGUUCAUAUGAUUUUGGCAAUUAUAUGAGUAAAUUAAAUCAUAUACAUAUGAAAAUAAAUAUUUAUUAUAUGUAUAUGGAAAAAUGUUGAAAUAUUCCCAUAUUCUCUAAGUAUUAUAGAGAAAAGCCAUUUUAGUGAAUGGAUAUAGUAGUGUAAGCUAGCUGUUUUACGACAGAGGGUUCAAAAACUACUAUAGGUAGGCAGUGGUUGCCGACCUCUCACAGAGCUUCUACGUAGGCUCGAGUGAGAUUCCAUCACUGAAGCGCACGGACGAGUGGAAGUACUUAGGCAUCAACUUCACUGCAACCGGGAGGGUUCGAUGCAAUCCGGCCGAGGACAUUGGUCCAAAGCUACAAAGAUUGACAAAGGCCCCCUCAAACCACAACAGAGGUUGUUCGCCCUUCGGACUGUCCUUAUCCCACAGCUCUACCACAAGUUAGCCCUUGGGAGUGUGGCGAUAGGCGUCCUAAGAAAAACUGAUAAACUUAUAAGAUAUUAUGUGCGAAGAUGGCUAAAUCUUCCGCUGGAUGU